ACACGGAGCCUCAGGGGCUGCGGCAGCAGCAUGGUGGGGCCGGAGAAGGAGCAGAGCUGGAUCCCUAAGAUCUUCAGGAAGAAGGUGUGCACGACGUUCAUAGUGGACCUCUCCGAUGAUGCGGGGUGAGCAGUUCGGGGCUGCUGACCUGGCAGCGUAGGUUCGCGGGCCCUGCCCCACUGCAGACAGGCUCCGCCCCCAUAGACUGGACUCGCCCCACUCAACGCAGACAAGGGUGCCCACCACAGACUGACCUUCACUGCCUACCGCAGGAGGUCUUGGUGCACAGACACACCCCACCCACCACAGAAGUCUCAGCUCAACACACUCAGACCCCGCCCACUAAGGACCUUCCCGCCUUCACUUGAGACAGACCCCUCCCCCUGCCCUUGUUUUGGGCCACCCUGCUUAGGGCACGCCCCGAAUUCUUCAUUCCCCUCUAGGUGGGGAUCCAUUCUGUGUCUUUGUGUCUCUGUCUCUUUGUGUCAUUUGUCUCUGCUUCGGCUUUCUGUGUCAUCCCGGCUCAGCGAGCAUAGCCACACAGCCCUGCCAGCCUUACAUAGCUCUGCAGCUUUGGGAUAGUAAUUCCCUUCUAGGGCUGCGCUUGUCACCUGGGCACAGAACAGCUCCUCCCUUCUGGGGCCGCUGUGCAAACUAAACAAGGUCACUCUGGGACAUUUCUGGAACUCUGCCCAUCACCUAAUAACAUCUAAUAAACAUCCGGGAAUAUCUGCAACUCCCAUGAGAAGAAGAGGGCAAUUGCCACUGCAAGCUGUGCUGUGCUGUAGGUGGCAGGGGACAGGAGCAAGCCCUAUAGGCUUCUUGGCUGCAUGCUUAGUCUCCCUAGCGGGGUCCAGCUUUAACUCAGUUCUCAGGGUAGACUUUUGGCCUUGGGGCAGUGACACCUGAUUUCCUUAGUGUGACUUUAUCAGGAGCCUGUUGUCCCACCAGUGUGGGACAGGAAAAUGUUGUAUAAAUAAACAGAGAUACUGGUUUACUGGUGGGUCUGGCAGAGGGUCACAGACAGCGUGACUAAAGUCAGUGGGACAAGAUGGGAGCUGGUGGGCUACAGGUGUCAUUGGAAAGAUGGUGCAGUGUGGUGCUUUGAAGGUGGCUCUGGGCCUUGGAAGUGCUCGGUCGAAGUCCUCCCUAAGGACAGCCCAGCGUGGCUUGAAAGUAGAGCAGAGUUCAGGCUGUCAAGAGUGUUGUGAGUGGGAAGGUUGGUGGUAGACCUCAUGGGCUCUCAGAGGCCAUCCCGAGUGUGGUUUCCUGGGGCUGCGUGAGGGCGGGUAGGAAUUCAGAAAGGUGAGAAGAGAUUGGGACCAUCACCAAGAUGAUGAGCCCAGGAGAAGAAGCAGGUUUGGAAGGGGAUGCUGAGUGCCGGUCCUUCUGUGUACAUGAUGGGCCUUGGAGACGGGCAGGGGAGGAUUGGGACCCUGCUGGUACUUAGCAGAAGAGUGAGAUUCAUACUGGGGUCUGAGGUCCCAGCUAUAGGUGGAGAUUGAAUCCAUGGAGGCAGGUGAGGAAAAUACAAAGGCCCCCUGUCUCUCUCGCCUUCCUCUUCUUUCCUUCUUACACCUCUGGGCUUAGGGUGUAAUUCAGGGGUAGCACACAUACUUAGCAUGUGUUGGGUUCCGUUCCCAGGACCAAAAACCCAAACCCAAGAAACCUGAGCACCAGAAAGCCACCAGGGGCUGUAGAGAUGGUCCCGUGGUUAGUAACUCUGGCUGCUGUUAUAGACAAGCACUCAGUGCCCAGCACUGCCCAGGCAGCUCACAACCACCUGUAACUCCCAUUCCAGUGGAUCUGACGCCCUCUUCUGGCCUUCACAGGCACUGCACACCUACGGUACACAGACACACAUGCAGGCAAAUCCUCACCCACAAAAUUAAAAACCAAAACACUCACCCAACACCCCCCCCCCACACACACACAUCUCUUAACACCUUUAAGACAAGUGCUAGCGGCUGCUGAAGUGUCUUAACUGUCUCUCUCGGCCUCUGGGGUUGAUGGGCUAGCGUGUCAUUGAGGGGUAGCCAGGAGGCUAGCAUGGAUCCUGGGUGCUCUGAGGGAAGCAGAGGGAAAAGAAAGACACCAUGAGAGGUGCAUUACAGUUUUGAGGAGAGGAAGGACCAGGCCAAGGUUUCCAGAAGGGGUGCAUUCCAUGGUGGCCAGUGGAAUGUCUCACCUUCUGACAGUGAGAUGACACUUGAAUGGAGCCAUUGUGCCUCACAGCCACACGGAGCAAAGGUGACAGGAGGCAGGCGGGCAAGGGAAAGGUUGCCAGCACCAUGGGACCAGAACCUACUUUCUUCUGUGACAGUGAUGCUCACUGUCCACAUUGAGUACGGUGACUAGUAUCAGUGACAGAGCCCUGAGCGAUGAACUGUGUGACUAGAAACGGAGUUUUCGUUUGAUUUAAUUUUGUGUGUGCUCCUGAGUGCAGGUGCAAAUGUGUGCCCUCGUGCAUAUAGAGGCCAGGGGAUGGCCUCAGGAAGUGUUCCCCACGCGCCGUGUGCCUUGUUUUGUAAGACAGUGUUUCUCACUAGCGUGGGGGUGACCUGGCUAGCCCCGGGGAUCCUUCUGUCUUCUUCUCCCCUGCACUGGGAUUGCAACUUGUUUAUGGGUCCUAGGGAUAAACUCAAGUCCUUCUGUGCUCAAGGUGGGCACUUUCUCCCCUGAGCUCCGCUUAAGUCAUUAGGUUAGGGUCUAAGGAGCCCGUGUGGGUAACAGGCCCCCGGGGCCAGGCGCUUCGGAGGCCAGAUGCUCCACAACAUUCCGUGCAGAAGUUUUGACUAAAAGAUAGAGGGAUCAAGGGGGUCCGAGAUGAGGUCCUGAUGGAUAAAAGGAUUAAGUGGGGUGAAACGGAAGCAUGUCAGGGUCCCCUGGCAUUAGAGAAGGGGGUUGUGUCUCUUAUAACUCUGGAGGGACACCAGGCCAUCUGUAUGCACCUGACGUGUGUCCUGUGAAUGACCAGUACCAUGGCCUGCCUGCCUCACGACAUUACCUUAGGCCGGGUGUGCACUGGUGUGCACUGGUGUGCACUGGUGUGCACUUGUCAUCAGGAGGUGGAGCAGGGGUUCAAGGCCAGCUUGGGCCACAAAGUUAGUUUUUGAUUGGCUUGGACUCUCAAAAGACAAGGGGCGGAGGGCUGCAGUUAUGGCUCAGUGGUUAGAAGCACUGGUCACUCUUGCAGAGGACCUGGGUUCCGCUCCCAGCACCCAUGGGAGGCCUCACAAUCAUCUUUAACUCCAGUUCCAGGGAAUUCAACGUCUUCUUCCAGCCUCCACAGGCAGCGUGCACAUGUAUAUGUGGUGUGCUGAUAUACGGGAAGACAAAUAUUCAUACAC
rnacentral:lncRNA from 1 species